rnacentral:rRNA from 1 species
UACGUAGGGUGCAAGCGUUGUCCGGAAUUACUGGGCGUAAAGCGCACGUAGGCGGCUUUGUAAGUUAGAGGUGAAAGCCCGGGGCUCAACUCCGGAACUGCCUUUAAGACUGCAUCGCUUGAAUCAUGGAGAGGUUAGUGGAAUUCCGAGUGUAGAGGUGAAAUUCGUAGAUAUUCGGAAGAACACCAGUGGCGAAGGCGACUAACUGGACAUGUAUUGACGCUGAGGUGCGAAAGCGUGGGGAGCAAACAGG